rnacentral:rRNA from 1 species
AACGAACGCUGGCGGCAUGCCUAACACAUGCAAGUCGAACGAAGGCUUCGGCCUUAGUGGCGCACGGGUGCGUAACGCGUGGGAAUCUGCCCCUCGGUUCGGAAUAACAGUUAGAAAUGACUGCUAAUACCGGAUGAUGACUUCGGUCCAAAGAUUUAUCGCCGAGGGAUGAGCCCGCGUAAGAUUAGGUAGUUGGUGGGGUAAAGGCCUACCAAGCCGACGAUCUUUAGCUGGUCUGAGAGGAUGAUCAGCCACACUGGGACUGAGACACGGCCCAGACUCCUACGGGAGGCAGCAGUGGGGAAUAUUGGACAAUGGGCGAAAGCCUGAUCCAGCAAUGCCGCAUGAGUGAUGAAGGCCUUAGGGUUGUAAAGCUCUUUUACCAGGGAUGAUAAUGACAGUACCUGGAGAAUAAGCUCCGACUAACUCCGUGCCAGCCGCCGCAGUAA